rnacentral:misc_RNA from 1 species
UUUCCGUAGGUGAACCUGCGGAAGGAUCAUUAUUGUAUAACCGAGGUGCGAGGGCUGUCGCUGACCCGAAAGGUCGUGCACGUCCGAGUGCCCUCACACACAUCCAUUUCACCCCUGUGUGCACCACCGCGUGGGUCACCCUUUGGCUUGUUCGGAGGGGGGCUUACGUUUUCACACAAACUUAGUAUGCAGUGUAGAAUGUAUUUUUUGUUUUUGCGAUCACGCAAUCAAUACAACUUUCAACAACGGAUCUCUUGGCUCUC